rnacentral:rRNA from 1 species
CCUACGGGAGGCAGCAGUGAGGAAUAUUGGUCAAUGGUCGAGAGCCUGAACCAGCCACGCCGCGUGAAGGAUGAAUGCCCUCUGGAUUGUAAACUUCUUUUAUAAGGGAAUAAAUGGAGGCACGUGUCCCUUUAUGCAUGUACUUUAUGAAUAAGGAUCCGCUAACUCCGUGCCAGCAGCCGCGGUAAUACGGAGGUGCCGAGCGUUAUCCGGAUUUAUUGGGUUUAAAGGGUCCGUAGAUGGGUUGUUAAGUCAGGUGUCAAAGGUGGGGGCUCAACCGUAAGACUGCAAUUGAGACUGGCAGUCUUGAGUGCAGGAGAGGUAAGCGGAAUUCGUGGUGUAGCGGUGAAAUGCGUAGAUAUCACGAAGAACCCCGAUGGCGAAGGCAGCUUACUGAACUGUGACUGACGUUGAGGCUCGAAAGUGUGGGGAUCAAACAGGAUUAGAUACCCGUGUAGUC